GGAGGGGUGGCCGAGCGGUUUAAGGCGCCUGUCUUGAAAACAGGUAAUCUCGCAAGGGAUUCGUGGGUUCGAAUCCCACCCCCUCCGCCA
rnacentral:tRNA from 1 species